rnacentral:lncRNA from 1 species
AUCCACCUUACUCUCUGACAUCACUUGUUCUGUGGGAAUAUUCCUUUAUGUGCCAGCUUCCAUUUUGUGAAGACACUCAAUAUAUUGUACAAAGCAGACCAUGUGACAAUAAACUACAGUCUCUUGCUGACAAUAAAGAUGACUUGCCAGACAAAUGAGUGAUCCACAUUAAAUGGAAGUGAAUUAUCUAACCCGACCAAGCCUUCAGAUGAUUAUCGAAUGGGCCAACAUUGUGAUUAAAACCUCAUGAGAUACUUUAAACCAAAACAGCCACUCCCAAAUUCUGGACCGACAGGAACUACCUAUUGCUGGUUUAAGUUUUCAGGUCUUAACUGAGGAAUCCAUUGUGUGCUGAAAACAAUGCAAAUCUCUGAAGAUAAAAAAAAGAGAGAGAGAAUGACACAGCUUCUGUACUCAAUGAGAGAAAGGAUUACAAGGUGUGAUGAGAGUUCCUGACUAACUCAACUAGAGAAGAAAGGAGGUUGGGGAGGCCACCUCAGCGGCAAUGAUAAUUGCCCUGAGUUUCUAAAGCAGAGUUAUUAUGAGGGGGAGAAUGGUGAUAUGAUUAAAGACAAGAGUCCUAUCCUGAGAAGUUCAUAGCUAAAAAUAAAGAGGGUGCCAGGUGUGAAUUCAGAAGUUUGGACCUAUUGGUAACAUGACUUGUAGAUACGCUUGCUAUAAAGGCACACAGAAUAAGAUCAGAAGAAUGAUGUGUAGAGAUGGUUGUGGAAGACAGAAGCAGAAGGUCAACAGGCAAUUGGCAAGACACCAGAAAGAAAUCUAAAAGGCAUACACUUAGUUCAGAAUUAUAGCACAUCUGGGAAUAAAAAAAAAAGAAAACAUGGUGAUGUCUCAAAACUGAUAUCAAAAUAAAUCUCAUUAACUGAAGAAAAUAACUUGAUCUUAAAUCUGUUUGCUAACUAUGAUUUUCAACAAAAGACUUCUCAGGAAGUAAUUUUACUCAGAUCCUUAUAGGUUGAAAGAAUUAAAAAUAGAAACUUUUCCUUCUGUUAAUGCCAUUAGCUGACAGCUAAUGAGAUUGAAGGAAUAUGAUAUAAUAAACUUAUUUGUAAACAUCCUAAA